UACGGAGGGUGCAAGCGUUGUCCGGAUUUAUUGGGUUUAAAGGGUGCGCAGGUGGGUAUUUAAGUCUGGUUUGAAAGCAGGUGGCUCAACCAUCUGAUGUGGCUGGAAACUGGAUAUCUUGAAUGGGUUGGCGGUAGCCGGAAUGGGUCAUGUAGCGGUGAAAUGCAUAGAUAUGACCCGGAACACCGAUUGCGAAGGCAGGCUACUACGACUUGAUUGACACUGAGGCACGAGAGCAUGGGUAGCGAACAGGG
rnacentral:rRNA from 1 species